rnacentral:rRNA from 1 species
UGGUCCUACGGGACGCAGCAGUGGGGAAUAUUGGGCAAUGGGCGCAAGCCUGACCCAGCAACGCCGCGUGAAGGAAGAAGGCUUUCGGGUUGUAAACUUCUUUUCUGAGGGACGAAGAAAGUGACGGUACCUCGGGAAUAAGCCACGGCUAACUACGUGCCAGCAGCCGCGGUAAUACGUAGGUGGCAAGCGUUAUCCGGAUUUACUGGGUGUAAAGGGCGUGUAGGCGGGACUGCAAGUCAGAUGUGAAAAUUAUGGGCUCAACCCAUAACCUGCAUUUGAAACUGUAGUUCUUGAGUGAUGGG